rnacentral:rRNA from 1 species
GUCUGUGUGAUAGUAAAUAUAAAGUCUAGCCUGCCCACUGAUAUUUUAAAGGGCUGCGGUAAUUUGACCGUGCAAAGGUAGCAUAAUCAGUAGUCUCUUAAUUAGAGGCUUGUAUGAACGGUUGGAUGAGAGAAAAGCUGUCUUUUUUAUAAUUUAAAACUUGACUUUUAAGUGAAAAGGCUUAAAUUAUAUAGGGGGACGAUAAGACCCUAUAAAACUUUAUACAUUAUUUAGUUCGUCUUUAAAUUUUAAGUAAAUUAUAGUGAAUUGAUAUGUGUAUUUCGUUGGGGAGACGUUGAUAUAAAUUGUAACUGUCUAAUUAAAAAAUAUAAAUAUGAUUAUGAUGCGAUCCUUCUUUGUGGAUAAAAAGAUUAAGUUACUUUAGGGAUAACAGCGUAAUUCUUUCUGAGAGUUCUUAUCGAAGAAAGUAGUUGCGACCUCGAUGUUGAAUUAAAAUUUCUGUUAGGUGUAGCCGCUUAAUUAGUGGGUCUGUUCGACCUUUAAAAUUUUACAUGAUUUGAGUUCAAACCGGUGUGAG